AAUAUACUCUCUCUGUCCCAUAUUAAUUGACUUUCUAUUACAUGUAUCUAGACACCUUUUAGUUAUAAAUACAUCCAUAUUUGGGCAGAUUUGAGUCACUUAAUAUGGGACGGAGGGAGUAGAUA
rfam:Brachypodium distachyon strain Bd21 chromosome 5, whole genome shotgun sequence.